AACACGGUGUUAGUUUAAAAGUAAGAAACAGAAUUCUUAUGCGCCAAAAAAACUAUAAAAGCAGCUGCUGCUGCUCAACAUCCUCCUUAAGUUGAGAUUCACUUGGAUUUACCGAAAAGAUUUCCGGACUUAAAAUGUAAUUUUCUCUUGCCAUCAAGUGACUGUUAUGGUGAUUCAACAAUAGGGUUAAUGAUCAGAUUCAGUUGAAAUAUGCUGUCGAUCUAUAGCUCCUAUGCUCUUGGCACUACGGAAACGUGUUGCAUUGAAAUCUUUUGACAUGACCGAGUAUCGUCAAUCCAACAAGUACCCUUAUUUAUCUAUGCACAUCAUUACUUUUGUCUCUUUUAUUAAUGUUGCCUUAAUUGUUUCCUAAGGUAUGCAUUCAAGUAUCAUCACAAAUCAAAAGCUGGAAGAGAUAUCGUCUAACCAGUAAACUCCAUUGCAUUUUCACCCCAUGUAAGUUUAUUACAUUGUUGCUUUAUUCACAUUGCUAGUUUUAUAAGGAAAAAUUAUGUUGGUAAUCUAUGGCCAUUUUUUACCCACUUUCAUUUAUAAUGGGUCAUGUACCAAAUGGGAUGCUUUCUAAUGAAAUCAUCUUCCUGUUAA